CUGCUUCCAAGAUGUGUUCACUAUGGGGAAACUGGACUUUUCCCUCACUUUCUGUUUGUUCCCUACUUUUCAGGAGUACUGGAUUAAACCUCUUCACCUCAAGCAAAUAUGAGGACUCAAACAAGACAAUUCUGCAGAAGGUGGAGUUGGGUAUGCAGGAGCAGAAAGAUCAUGUGAUGUGAACAGGCCCAAGACACAAUACAAGAGGAAGAGGUAAAUCAGCUGUUAAACACAGAGCCAGCUGCUGAAAUGGAGCUAGUAGAGCAGUCUGUCUAUAUCCCCACAGCACUGGGAGAGCCGUCUUUCCCUUCACGCCAGCUGGGAGAAGAUGCAUAAAUCCAGAACAUCCAAUGAGCAUCAGAGCUUUGUGCUUUAUGAAAUUCAUAGGAAUAGGAGUGCAGCAUUUUUACAGAUUACUUUUUCCAGUUGCAAACACAUAGCAGCAGAGGAUUAUUAGUAUUUUGGUCAGAGGUGGUUGAAAGACAUUAGUGUCUAUCUCCAUAGCCUACAACCUCCUCCUUAUUACUGGAUUAUAAUUCAGGGCCCAUCAGUGUAUGUCCAGCAGGAGUUUGUAAUGUUUUCUUUAACAACAAGCUCACACAAUCUGUUUCAAAACAUGCAUCAGUAACAGUGUUCACAAUUGUUCCUGUACCACCUUGCUGCAUUUUGUUUUUUAUACAGAUACCCAAAGAACAUACACUGUGUUUAACCUCCUCUUUAGGCUGGGAAAUGGAGCACCACAAAAACAACAUCAAAUGAGGUUGACCUCACCUCUUCCAGGAACUGCACGGUUGGCACCUUUGCAGAGGUUUCCAAAAAGCUAGAUAGCACUUACACACCUAGGUUCCAUGGGUUUUGUAUUGGUAGUAAGGUCCUUAAAUUAUGCCUUUCAAAAAUUCCCUUCCUGGUCUUUAAAAUAAUGUCAGAAAACAUGAUGCAUGAGAAAAAUCAACAUCUCAAGUUAAAAGUAUUUUUUACAGACAAUUGAGCAAAAAAAGUAUAUCAUCAAAGCACUGUUGGCAUGUAGAUUGAAAGUUAAAUACAUGGCAUGAAUGCAUAGUCUUAGAAAAAAAAGUCUGAUCUAAUAAUUUUGUUUCUUUAAAUUCCACUGUAAGCUUUUAAAAACAUUUUACUGCAAUAAAAAGUUGAUGGUUCUGACA
rnacentral:lncRNA from 14 species